CCCCCCACCCGCUGUCCUGGUUUUUCACCCUUACGAUCUGGUCACCCUAUUGAGGGAUGGGGGAGCAUCGCGUUAGAAGGAAAGCUAUGUAGCCUUGGCUUUGCGGAUGAUGGGCUCUCAGGUUGCCCUACCUGAUGUCCAUCUCCAAAAGAGCUGCUACAAGAUACCUGCCCAUUAUAAUGGGCAGCAUCUGCCUGCAAUAUCUGAAGGGAGAAAAUACAAUGAAAUCUUUGGUGUUGGGUGGGUAACACCUGUGCAUUUUGUGGAGAGGUGGUAGGGGGAAAGCACCUGUUUUAUAAGUAAUUAGGAGAACAAAUCUGCCUCCACCCCCAAUUUCCAUCUUGAAAAUUUUGGGGUACUUGGAAUUGCAGAUAAGAACGCAGAGACCACCACAGAGGGUCGCAUUUUGUAAAUCUAGAUAAAUGCAGCCACUGGUGGGAUGAAUAGUAACCAGUAGAUGUUGCAGGUCUGAGGUUUCAGCCAAGCAUGCCAGAGAAGCCACUGAUAGUAUGUCUACACUGCCAGGUGAAGUUGUGAUUGUUGCAUGCCUGUGUUAGCUUUAAUCUAGCUAGCCUGGAUCACAGUAGCAGUGUAUAUGUGGAAGCAUGGAUUAGCAACCUAAGUACAAGCUCUCAGUGUCCCUGCAGCACAAACAUGAUCUCUAUUUAAAGGUGAAUUUCCAGCAAUAGAAUCUGCUCAUAGCAGAUCAGGGUUUGAAAAGGUUUUCUUAAUCCCUUGCUUUGCAGUAAGACAUGUUUCCAAUACAUGUAUCGCUACACAUUUAAAGGUUCCCAUCAAUUAAAAUUUGAGAAGUCAAUCACAAACACAGUCUGACAUACAAGGAAUACAACUGCUAGUCCAUGCUACCCCUUACCUGGAUAGCCCCUGUCUACCACUUCCUCAGCUUCCCCCAUCCUCUCCCUAUUUGACAGGUGCAAUCGAAGUUGGCAUCAACCUGUUCUGCUUGAGGAGUUUCCAGCUUCUGCUUUUCUCCCAAGAACAGAUCAUUAGUUCGAAAAGUUUGAGGAGGAGAUGCUCAAAACAUGUUAAAACUGUUUGUGGCUUUGCAUUCCAGUCUCCUUUAGAUCAUAUUUCUUUUUACUACAACACCUGCCUACUUAGAACCACAGCGCAGGGUUGGAACACCAGUAAUACGCCCCCCCCCACUGCUCCCCAAGGUUUGUGGGUGGGGGGAAACCUUUGAGGCAGACGGGGAAGGGACAAUUCCUCCAGCAUUUGCUAAUUUGGACUUUUCUACCCUGCCCCAUGCCUGUGGGCUAAGCUGCCUGCAGUACCGCCUGUGGUCGCUAGAGGUCGUUGUACGGCUUGUUCAGCCGUGAGCAGCUGUUUGAGAUCUACGGUUCCAGGUGUGAGCCCCGCAGACUAGAGCCUAGGAGAGCCUGUAAGGCGAAUUCUCAGGCAGCCAAGGCCUCAUCCCCUCGGCAAUGGUGCACAAAGCAGGGUGAGUGUACUGGAUUGCAGAGCACUGGGGAGACACCCCAUUGUGGAUGCUGGAGAAGCAUGUAAUGUGCUGCAGCUACCCUGCUACUUGAGAGGGAGCUAAACAGGGCUGUCCAUGUCCACGAGAUUGAAAGGUAAAAGGAUUCACAGGACCUGCCAAGGCCAUUUUAGUGGAUGUGUAGAGCUGGGAGAAGAUUUUCAGCCUGCUGGAUCUAGAAUGCUGAAUAGAUGUGUAUUCUUAUGUCAAAGCCGUGCUGGAGGUCAUGGCAAGCAGG